CCCACUGAACCAGCCAGGAGCCCAUUUCUUCACUUCUUAAGGGAGCUGGAUAGAUACACUUAUGGCACCUUGGUUUCUCUUUACAACCAUAUUUUCUUUAUGGCUGAUACUUUUGUGUAAUUUUGUAUAAGUUGGGAGAUUUCUUACUAAUUUGACCCUGCUUGUCUAGUCUUUUUCCUUUCAGUAUAUAGUACUUCUUGUUAUAUUUUCAAAAGAAUACUUUAUAAAGAAAAAAUAUUCAGCAAAUAAAGGAAAUGAAAACCCCAAUGGAUGUUGUGUAAGAAUAGGAUUGUAUCAUUACCAAUGAAAUUUUCUUUCCUAUAAACAAAAUGAGGAACCAGACUAAGAAGUAUUAAGUAUGCUAAAAUAUGCUGAGGUCUUGGAAAUUGUAACUGUAAGAACAUGUAUCACUGCACUGUGCUUAAGGGGUAUAGCUUUCUCAUUCUCUACAUUCACUGGAAUUUUGAGAAGUAGUGCCAAGUUUAUGUUGUGAGCUUUGUGCACUCUGAACUCAGUGGCAAUGCAAGAGGCUCCUGGUUUGGUGGCCACAUCUCAGGUUCGAAGAGGGAGGCAGUACAGGGGCAGAGUGGGCUGCAUGGUGAGGCAGUGGUGCAUAUGGGCCUCAAGGGCUGGGCAGUGGUUUGGAAAUUGCAGUAGUGGAUGUGGUGAGGUGCUGCCCAGAUGCCCCUUCAGGAGGAGACAGACACACAUCACCCAGCUGCAAGGAGAGCUGGCUGCUGAUGGAUCUCAGCUGAAUCCCUCUCAGAACUGCCUUUUGCCAAAGGUUAUACCUCCUUCCUGGGAGGAGGCCCACCUCUGGUGCCUGGUCAAAGGGGGGGUGGAGGGCACAGCACCUUGACAUAAUUUCUGACAUCCUGAAGGGCCACCCCAGCUCCAGAGCUUCAGAUGGGAUCCACUGAGGCCUGAGUUGUGGACGCAUCAUGGUUCACCUUCCCCCUUUGCCCAGUCCUGCACCCCUCGCUCCCUCAAGGGGCUUCCUGAGAGCUCCCCAGUAAGCCCUGCAUGCAGAUCUCAGCUUCUCACUGUCGGUUUCCAGGAUGCCUGAUGUAAGAUAGUAACAGGCUUUCCAGGCAGAGGGUGGCUUUGGGAAAUAGUCGAGAUGUCCAGUUGGCUGGGGUGUUGUGUUGAAUGUAGGGGCAAGUGAGAUAGAAAUGUGGCAAAGGGGCAGGUCUGGGGGUGGUGAGGAUCUGCAGUUUUGAGCACAGGGCAGCCUUAUGGCCAAUUUAGGUCAAAUUACCAAAAAAUUUUGUGGUAUAUCUCAGGGAACAUAUUAUAAUGAGAAAAGUAACUGAAAGAAGUUGGUUUAUAAUGUACUGUCAUUUUGAGAUGCAAAUCCCAUCAUUAGUGAACCAUAGUUUUUAAAAAAUUUUUUCAGAAAACAGGGAUAGAUCUGAGAGGAUUGUCUACAUAAGCAAUCUCCACACAUGCAUUUACAAAAUAGCUGGUAAGGGUUAAAGAGAUUGCCUCUUCACUUUCGAAUACUUGUUCCUAGGUGAACAGAGAGUAUGUCCUACUAGGUAUUAGAGAUUGUGUAUGUUCUCUCUGAACCUACAACAACCCUGCAAGGCAGUAUUAAUGUACCAGUUUUAGGGAUAGGGAAACUGAGGCUUGGAUGGAAUAAGGGACUUGCCUGGUGAGUAAGGGGUAAAGAUGGGAUUCAAUCCCAGAUUUCUUUAACUUAGAAGCUUCUGCUGUCCAAAUCAGAUGAGCAGGUCUCAUGGAGCCCAUGACCUGGGCCUCGUGCUCCAGGGCUCUGACUCACCAGGCCUAAGUGGUGACCAAGACAUGUGCUUAUUAACCCUUGUAAGUCAUCUGUUCAAGUAACCAAAGUGGCGCUUCAGUAACUUAGCCGUUGAUUUCAACAACGGCUCCUUCUUCAGUCACAAUAAUAAUCAUAAAUAGCACUUCUAUUUUUAUUAUUUGCAAAGCCCUUUCUAUGCAUCGUGUUGUCCGAGCUUCACAACAGGGCUCUGUGGUAUCCAGGAGCCUGCACUGUGUGGACAGUCUCAGUGGACAACCUUACCCUCACUUUGGAGGGCAGUUGGUCAGUGAGGUGGCUCUGUCCCUGCUGAGUCACUCUAAGGUCACUGUGUCCCUCUACAAAAGUCUACAGCUUUCAUCAAUCACCUUUUCCUUAUAGCAGCCCUCUGGUUCCAAUCCAGUGCCCACCCUUCUCCACCCAGAUGUGUGCCCUGGAAGGCUGACCUGUGGACUGAUCACUGGGCUUCCAGUUGAAAUUGGCCAGUUGGACGCACCAGCAGAUCUGGCAAUCAGAUAAGAGUGAAAUUGGGGUAUUUAUUCUGCUCCCUUCCUGUGAGGACAAUGUGGACUGUCUGGAUCCUAAUACUGCUUCCAGGAUCUAUGUAGAAAGAAGUACAUUGCUGUGUGUUUGUAGCUCUGCCCAUCAUUUGAGGGUGAUAAAACCAAGAACUAGUGAUUUUAAGGAACUUGCCAAAUAUUGGAAUCAGUAAGAGGUAAACCUGGGGUCUGAACUCAGAAAGCAUAGUUCCAGAACCUACUUUCCUAACUGCUACAAGGAAGGAAUUGCCAACAUUAAAAAAAAAAAAAAAAAAAAAAGUCAAGCGAUUUCACGGAAUCAUGGGAUUCAUGCCCUCUCUUGAACAGUUGUAACAUAUGAAAUGAAAAGGAAGACUGGACCAAGUAUUAAGUCACAAUUUUCGCUUCAAAGUAGCUGCCAGUGGCUACCAAUCCAAGGCCAGGGCUUCAAAAGAAAUGAGUCCUUGCCUCCUGGGCUCCCAUCUCUGAGACCUCCAGCUGAGACGUUUCUGACCGGAGCAUGGUCCUGGCAAGGUGUUCUUCAUGCCAGCCAGACCUGUCCACAGCCACUAGAUCCUGGCCUACACUCCUGCUGAACCUGGCUUUCCCCCUGCUGCAGCUCACAUACCCCCUUAUCAUGGACUCCUCCUCCCCAACCCUAUCUCCUCUCCCUAGAGACACUCUCACGUUCCACUUCCUCCACUCAGCCUUCCUUUAAUUCUCCUAACUGAAGAACCUCUUCUUUUUACUUUCUGAAAUGACCAUGUAAGUCACAUGUAGAUGAUGAUGAUAACUAUAGGAGCAAUAUAGCUAAGCUAACACCUGACGGUGGUCUAUUCUGCUCCCCAGCACUGUAUACACUCUUGACCCACAUUAUCUCAUUUAACUCUCAUGGAGCUCCUAUGAAAUAUGAACUUUUAUUUGUAUUGCUGAGUAAGCCGCCUUAGUAAGGUUACAUAAAUUGUUCAAAAUCUCAUAGCUCAUUUUAUGUCUUAUGUAAAUUAUUUGUAUUCUCUUUUAUUUAUCCUCCAAAUGGAUAAUUGAGAUCAGGGAGCAUUCUUUGUUCAGCUGUGACCCCUAUUCUAAGCCUAUGGAGUAUCUUGUGCAUGGUGGGCAGUAAAUCACCAAUUUGCUGAAGAGUCUCAGAAUUCACAACUUUUGCCACCAAAUUGGUCAUGUUUUUUGGUGCUGAAUUUUAUUUUAUUUAAAUUUUUUUUUUGUUAUCUAUCAAGCAUACACCUGUGUUCUAUGUAAUGUAAGUCGAGAUGGGGAGCAAAAAAGUGUUUCUAAGAAGUUUGGAAUAAAUUGAUUCCUGUUUUCCUUCUGUUAUA